GAUGAACGCUGGCGGCGUGCCUAAUACAUGCAAGUCGAGCGAACGGACGAGAAGCUUGCUUCUCUGAUGUUAGCGGCGGACGGGUGAGUAACACGUGGAUAACCUACCUAUAAGACUUGGAUAACUUCGGGAAACCGUAGCUAAUACCGGCUAAUAUUUUGAACCGCAUGGUUCAAAAGUGAAAGACGGUCUUGCUGUCACUUAUAGAUGGAUCCGCGCUGCAUUAGCUAGUUGGUAAGGUAACGGCUUACCAAGGCAACGAUGCAUAGCCGACCUGAGAGGGUGAUCGGCCACACUGGAACUGAGACACGGUCCAGACUCCUACGGGAGGCAGCAGUAGGGAAUCUUCCGCAAUGGGCGAAAGCCUGACGGAGCAACGCCGCGUGAGUGAUGAAGGUCUUCGGAUCGUAAAACUCUGUUAUUAGGGAAGAACAUAUGUGUAAGUAACUGUGCACAUCUUGACGGUACCUAAUCAGAAAGCCACGGCUAACUACGUG
rnacentral:rRNA from 1 species